rnacentral:rRNA from 1 species
GCAUAUCAAUAAGCGGAGGAAAAGAAACUAACAAGGAUUCCCCUAGUAACUGCGAAGUGAAGCGGGAAAAGCUCAAAUUUAAAAUCUGGCGGUCUUUGGCCGUCCGAGUUGUAAUCUAGAGAAGUGCUAUCCGCGCUGGACCGUGUACAAGUCUCCUGGAAUGGAGCGUCAUAGAGGGUGAGAAUCCCGUCUUUGACACGGACUACCAGGGCUUUGUGAUGUGCUCUCAAAGAGUCGAGUUGUUUGGGAAUGCAGCUCAAAAUGGGUGGUAAAUUCCAUCUAAAGCUAAAUAUUGGCGAGAGACCGAUAGCGAACAAGUACCGUGAGGGAAAGAUGAAAAGAACUUUGGAAAGAGAGUUAAACAGUACGUGAAAUUGCUGAAAGGGAAACGCUUGAAGUCAGUCGCGUUGGCCAGGGAUCAACCUUGCUUUUGCUGGGUGUACUUUCUGGUUGACGGGUCAGCAUCAAUUUUGAUCGUUGGAUAAAGUCUGUGGGAAUGUGGCUUCUUCGGAAGUGUUAUAGCCCAUGGUCGCAUACAACGGUUGGGAUUGAGGAACUCAGCACGCCGCAAGGCCGGGUACUUGUACCACGUUCGUGCUUAGGAUGCUGGCAUAAUGGCUUUAAUCGACCCGUCUUGAAACACGGACCAAGGAGUCUAACAUGCCUGCGAGUGUUUGGGUGGAAAACCCGAGCGCGUAAUGAAAGUGAAAGUUGAGAUCCCUGUCGUGGGGAGCAUCGACGCCCGGACCAGACCUUUUGUGACGGAUCCGCGGUAGAGCAUGUAUGUUGGGACCCGAAAGAUGGUGAACUAUGCCUGAAUAGGGUGAAGCCAGAGGAAACUCUGGUGGAGGCUCGUAGCGAUUCUGACGUGCAAAUCGAUCGUCAAAUUUGGGUAUAGGGGCGAAAGACUAAUCGAACCAUCUAGUAGCUGGUCUGC